rnacentral:lncRNA from 1 species
GAACAUAACCUACUUGAGUUGGUCUUGUGGUAUUGAAUUGAGAUAUGGGAGUGUUGUAACGCCUUCGCUUGGUGGGCAUGUAACGCCCGAGGCUGAUGAGGGCGGGGAGUGGUCCGGCUCCUGGCAUGCUUCUAGGCAAAACUGAAUCACAUCGGAAUGAGAGAGAUCUUGAGGCCGUGCAGGUAUGAGACUGUAUGGUUAAAGGAAAGCUUAUAAGAAUUGUUUGGUACUACCUAUAUCAACAAGAUGCAUCUUCUUUUCGGUAGCUCAUUCCAUAAGAACUCCACAGUUAAGCGUGCUUGACUCGGAGCAAUUUUGGGAUGGGUGACCUACCGGGAAGUUUUCCGGUAAGCGUGCGAGUGAGGACAAAACAUGCUGAAAAGACUCGUGUUGGUUUGUGGGGUCAGUCGGCAAUCCUGAAAGCAGUCUGGGGUGUUACAAGUGUGCUCCUCCUCGAGAUUUCAUGUUUGAUUCCCUAUGAUGCCAAUUUAGGUAAGCUAGUUUAGCUUCUUAAAAAAAAAAAAAAAACUACUAAGAACAUGUACUUUUGAAGUAUAAUGGUGAUUGAGAUUUGUAUAAAGAGUUUUUAGCUCAUUUCUAUUUUUGAUAAAUGAAAAAAAAGGUAGCACGUCAAAUGAAAACUAGAUUGACAACUCAUUAAAUAAGAAGAUGAGAUGCAAUGCAUGAGAAAUUUAUAUAACUGAUGUGUAGAGAUGAGGUGAUGGAUGGGUUUUAAAGGAGAAAUAGACAUCUUAGAUAAACUUGUUCGAUUGUAACAAUCUUUCAAUCAUGUUUAUCGAAUUUGUCAAGCCUAUCAUCAAUUAUUAUUUAUAUUUUUAAAGAUCAAUAUUUUCUUUUUUAUUUGUGAUCCUUCAUUUUUUUUUUGUAAUGAGAGUUCUUUGAACAAUAUUACAUAAUGAUUUAAACGAUGAUUUUUCAAACUCAUCUAUCACAAAGCCAUAAAAGUUCUACUUUGACAAGAUCCCGUAGCUAAAUGUAAAAUAAUUCAAGAGAUGCAAUUUUUUAGGUUAUGCUAACAAAUGUCCUUAGAAAUAUAAAAAUAGAAAUAAUUGAAGAAUUUAAGAAAACAAAAAUCAAUUUUUAAAGUUUCAAUAUAUAACAAAUGCAUAAUUUCGAAGAUAGAGUUUUUUCAUUGGACUUAAUAUCAACUGCAUAUAGAGAG